GGCAGCACAGUAAGAGCUUGCUCUUAUGGGUGGCGAGUGGCGGACGGGUGAGGAAUACAUCGGAAUCUACUUUUUCGUGGGGGAUAACGUAGGGAAACUUACGCUAAUACCGCAUACGACCUUCGGGUGAAAGCAGGGGACCUUCGGGCCUUGCGCGAUUGAAUGAGCCGAUGUCGGAUUAGCUAGUUGGCGGGGUAAAGGCCCACCAAGGCGACGAUCCGUAGCUGGUCUGAGAGGAUGAUCAGCCACACUGGAACUGAGACACGGUCCAGACUCCUACGGGAGGCAGCAGUGGGGAAUAUUGGACAAUGGGCGCAAGCCUGAUCCAGCCAUACCGCGUGGGUGAAGAAGGCCUUCGGGUUGUAAAGCCCUUUUGUUGGGAAAGAAAAGCAGCGGGCUAAUACCCAGCUGUUCUGACGGUACCCAAAGAAUAAGCACCGGCUAACUUCGUGCCAGCAGCCGCGGUAAUACGAAGGGUGCAAGCGUUACUCGGAAUUACUGGGCGUAAAGCGUGCGUAGGUGGUUGUUUAAGUCUGUUGUGAAAGCCCUGGGCUCAACCUGGGAACUGCAGUGGAAACUGGAUGACUAGAGUGUGGUAGAGGGUAGCGGAAUUCCCGGUGUAGCAGUGAAAUGCGUAGAGAUCGGGAGGA
rnacentral:rRNA from 1 species